CCUGCACCCCUGCCUGUACCCUUGCUUGCCUGCGCCCCUGCCUGCGCCCCUGCCUGCCUGCUGCGCAGCUCCUGGGUGGUCCCGGCGCGGUGCGGGAGGCGGGUGCGGUGGCUGCCGGCUGUCCUCCUUCCGUGACUGGGUGCGGGGGGGGGGGGGGAAGGCGGCGUCCAGCCGAGGCACACGCUUCCCGGGGGGGGGGACCCUGAGGUUCCCUGGGGACCGGGGAAAGGCUGCGGGUCUCGGGGUGCAGCUGGAAGCGGACGUGGCGGGAUGGUCGCACCCCGGAGCGGGAGCGAGGACGCGGUGCCCACGGGGGGGGUCUCGGCGCGGUCGGUCCCACCCGCACCCACGGGUGACCCGUGGGUGCACGCAGAGCCUCUACCACCGGUCACCCAACAGCGGGCGCGGGAGAGCCCGCCGCAGGGUUCUGGUGCGCCACGGUGAGAACGAGAGCGAGCGAGGGGUGGAAGAAUACAGCGGGAAGAGGAAAAAAAAAGACACGCUCCGUUUUGUCUCCGUUGGUUUUAGAUAUUAAGGAUCCGUUGGAGAGGAACCUCUUGCUUUUGUGCUCGUAGGAUGCCGAGGGCGGUGUACAUUCUGCGUAGCGCGGUGGUGCCCUGGCUUAACCACGGCUCUUAGUCACCUUAUAUAACAUUAGCAAUUUCUUAAUCUUUUUUUUUUUUUUUUUUUCCUUUUACCCUCACAGGCAGAUCGGUUGAAGUGAGUUUAUCCCAAGUCUGAAACAGAAUGUUUUCCAAGGUGGUCAGCUAGGCCCCAGCAGGCUCACGGAGGUUUCCCAUGGGAAGAGCCAGUAGAGCCGAUGCGAUGACAUCCGCCUGAGAUGAGGAUGCUGUCUGGAUCAGAAACGCAGCUGUACGCCGGGGUGUGGUAGAAGAUGGGGACCCCCUUCUGUACGGAGGAACCCCACUUUGGGAAAAGCUCCUAAAGAAGAGAAAAGAUAGGCCUUCCUAAAGCAGUGCUCUAUAUGUUUCAUUAUAGGAACACUGGAAGAAUAAUAAAAAAAGCCCUAAGCGCUAAGAAAUGUGCGCUUUAUAAACAUUUAUAGCUAAAUUAAUGCCAAGGAUGUUGGUUUACACCCCAGCGAAAUAUUGAUGACCGAGGUGCAAAACGACGGCUGCUCCUUUGGUUUUUCAUAAAGUUUUUCGAUGACUGUUGGAAGAACAUCCGUCGGGUGAGAACAAGAGCCCGGAAGUGCUAGCAUAAAGAUUGGGUGGGAUUUGAUCAUUUUCUGUAUGUGAGGUGUCUGAAGCAGCCUGGACCCACCGCUGCUGGGCCGCACCGCACUCGGGGGACACCUGGUGGAAGCAGCUUUCUCCCCAAAACCUCGUCCCCAAAAACGUCCUCCCCAAAUCCUCUCCGUGCCGGCCCACGGGAUUUCUGCUGCUCGGGGGCUGCAGCAAAGGGUGCCUGCGCCUAACGAGGGCCCUGGGACCAGGGCUGGGAUUGAAUCCGGGAUAUUUCCAAUCGUCGCUGUAGGCAAAGGUGUGAAUGCAAAGGCUUCUGCGUGGCCGCGAUACCUACUCGUGUAAACUGUGCUUUCCACUUCGUACUGUGCUUUGAGACCCUUUUCUGCUCUCCAGGUGAGGACGCAGCCUCCUCAGCUCCGUUUUCCAAGUAAAAAUGUCGAGUCCAUACUGUCGUUACAGAGCUGCGCUUCAGCGCAGGCGUGCGUGACGCUCGUGCGGCUCCUCAGGUGCAAAAAAAAAACCAACUCGGGCAAGAAAUUUCAAAUACUUCUCCAUCAAACUGCUGUGCUCCUCUGUAAGAAGCUGAGCAGUCAGUCCUUGCUGGAGCACAGGGAGCUCGCACAGUUUUUCCCUGAGCAGGCACGCAGCAUCUCUGCUGCAGGACUCCAGAUGCUCAGCGACAUUCCUGGGUUUUAUUUUCUGCUCAGCCUUUCCCAGCGACUUGCAGGAGGCAUUCGGAAAAACGAGGAUGUCAGAUCGCGCUCGCGGUAAUGGGAACGGGAUAAUUAAGAUCUCGGUGGUUUUGAUCCCAUUCUGGUUGUCAGCAAAAGGCUGUCACAGACUAAGGCGAAGGACCUGUCCGGAGGGUGAUGGGAAUAUUUGCUGGAAGGGGAAUAACUUCGGUGGGAAACAUCACGCACCGUCGAGGCACCGAGGAGGAACCAGCACCACUGGAUGUAUGGAGUCGCUCCCACCCAUCCGUAAAUCUCCGGGUCCCCAGGGCCAUACUUCCAACCCUUUUCCUUUGCUCCCCGG